rnacentral:rRNA from 1 species
CAGCAUAAUGGUAGCAAUACUAUUGAUGGCGACCGGCGCACGGGUGAGUAACGCGUAUGCAACCUACCUUUAACAGGGAGAUAACACUGAGAAAUUGGUACUAAUACCCCAUAACAUCAUGAAAGGCAUCUUUUAUGGUUGAAAAUUCCGAUGGUUAGAGAUGGGCAUGCGUUGUAUUAGCUAGUUGGUGAGGUAACGGCUCACCAAGGCAACGAUACAUAGGGGGACUGAGAGGUUAACCCCCACAUUGGUACUGAGACACGGACCAAACUCC